rnacentral:rRNA from 1 species
GUGGGGAAUAUUGGACAAUGGGCGCAAGCCUGAUCCAGCCAUGCCGCGUGAGUGAUGAAGGCCCUAGGGUUGUAAAGCUCUUUCAGUGGGGACGAUAAUGACGGUACCCACAGAAGAAGCCCCGGCUAACUUCGUGCCAGCAGCCGCGGUAAUACGAAGGGGGCUAGCGUUGUUCGGAUUUACUGGGCGUAAAGCGCACGUAGGCGGAUCGUUAAGUCGGGGGUGAAAUCUUGGAGCUCAACUCCAGAACUGCCUUCGAUACUGGCGGUCUUGAGUCCGGAAGAGGUGAGGGGAACUCCUAGUGUAGAGGUUGAAUUCGUAGAUAUUAGGAAGAACACCAGUGGCGAAGGCGGCUCACUGGUCCGGUACUGACGCUGAGGUGCGAAAGCGUGGGGAGCAAACAGGAUUAGAAACCCCAGUAGUCC